CUGAGUUGCAAAACUCCCUAAACCCAUUGUUUACCUAUCUCAAAAACGUCUGCUUCGGUGGGCGGCCCCAGGGCGGGGCCGCUGUGGGCGCUUUCGGGCGUCGACGCCCACCGGAGGAGACGACCCCUAACUCGUACUAUUGUGGUAUAUCUGAGCCUAAAGACAAAUUGUCA
rnacentral:misc_RNA from 1 species